UACGGAGGGUGCAAGCGUUGUCCGGAUUUAUUGGGUUUAAAGGGUGCGUAGGCGGCUUCUUAAGUCAGUGGUGAAAUCCUGCAGCUCAACUGUAGAACAGCCAUUGAUACUGAGAAGCUUGAGUACAGACGAGGUAGGCGGAAUUUAUGGUGUAGCGGUGAAAUGCAUAGAUACCAUAAAGAACACCUAUUGCGAAGGCAGCUUACUAGGCUGUAACUGACGCUGAGGCACGAAAGUGUGGGGAUCAAACAGG
rnacentral:rRNA from 1 species